rnacentral:lncRNA from 1 species
AAAAAAGAAAAAGGGCAAAAAAGACUGAAGUGAAUCCAUCAACAAUAUGAGAAUAUAAACCUAUUUCCGUUAUUUUAGUUUUGUCACCAAUGUUUGUGAACAUUCUUCAUCUAACAAUGUUUAGGAUGUUUUGCAGGGUCAUUUGCAGGCCUUGGGUUUCUGUCACUGUACUUAUCUGGAAAAAUGAAAGCAUUCGACCGCAGCGGGCAUGUUGCAAAAUUAUGCAUCGUUUUCUUGCCUAUUCUUUCUGCAUGUCUAGUUGGUGUUUCUCGUGUGGAUGAUUAUUGGCAUCAUUGGCAAGACGUGUUUGCUGGUGGCGUUCUAGGUGUGUGAUCUCCUCCUAUUCUGUGCUGAUGGUUAAUAAUUUUCCUGGCUAAAACUCGUGUUUUCAUGUGAGUUGCAUCUGAAUAAACUUUCAGGUCUCGUGGUGGCUACAUUUUGUUACCUGCAGUUUUUCCCACCUCCGUACCACACUGAAGGUAGGAGUAUUUUCUGCGCCUUCUGCUCAUAAUCGAAAUGCAGGACUCUUAUUUGCUGUGCUAAUUACUGCGAUCCUCACAGAUGCAAUAAAAGAUGCAGUUGGCCGACCUCGGCCCGACUUUUUCUGGCGUUGCUUUCCUGAUGGGAAAGAUGUAUGUUAUCUUUAUCUAUGAACGUAAAAUCGGCCAUAAUGUAGUUAAUUAACCAAGCUUCUUAUCGGCGGUCAUGUUUUUCUUUUCCCAUUUGCUUCAUAGGAGUACGAUCGUUGGGGCAAUGUGGUGUGCCACGGGAAAGAGAGUGAUAUAAAGGAAGGACACAAGAGUUUUCCUAGUGGUCAUACUUCAUGUUAGUAGUACUUCUCGCAGUAUGCCAGAUCUUUCACUUGUGCAAGAUGCAAAAAAUGUGUGAAAAUUGUUCGUAAUUGCAACCAUUAUCUUGCACUUUCCGAGCGACAAAACUAUUCAUAUAUUUACAAAGUAUGAGUAUGUACUAAGUAGAAUGAUGAUUCUACAUCUAAUUGAAUUGCUCCCCUAUGUUGUUGCCCACCGCCAAUGAGGCAACACGUGGAUAAGAAAUAAAUUUAAAAAUCAAUUGUCAAUGUGACACAUUGGCGGGUGGGCAACAUAUCUCAUGUCCCGUCUACUGUGGGCAGGAAAUCAGUUCUGCUCCAUCUAAUCUUCAAUGUUGUUGUGCAUGUCAUGAACUUUUCAUGUAUGAUUCAUCUAAAAAAAUAUUUUCUCCAAAAAAAGAAAAAGGGCAAAAAAGACUGAAGUGAAUCCAUCAACAAUAUGAGAAUAUAAACCUAUUUCCGUUAUUUUAGUUUUGUCACCAAUGUUUGUGAACAUUCUUCAUCUAACAAUGUUUAGGAUGUUUUGCAGGGUCAUUUGCAGGCCUUGGGUUUCUGUCACUGUACUUAUCUGGAAAAAUGAAAGCAUUCGACCGCAGCGGGCAUGUUGCAAAAUUAUGC